rnacentral:SRP_RNA from 1 species
UCUGGGCAGCGUAGCGGCUGCCUGUAACCCGAGCGGGAGUAAGAGAGAUGGAGCUGGGGCUCUUGCCAAGGACCGCGGGGAUCAUGUGGAAGGCACGUCCACUUGAAGCGUGGGGAGUCUCUGUCCUGGGCUCCUCCGCGGAAGCGAGAGGGGUCUGGGUGGAUAAUGUGGAAGGUAAAGCGUGAGGCGGGCGACCGAGCAACGAUCACUAUCCGCUCUGCGCAGUCGAGGGACAGCGUGCUUGAAUGUUUGCCGGCCAUCAUCCGAUGCUAGCAGUCUUCAGCAACUUCUCUC